rnacentral:rRNA from 1 species
UACGUAGGGGGCAAGCGUUGUCCGGAUUUAUUGGGCGUAAAGCGCGUGUAGGCGGCCAGAUAGGUCUGCUGUGAAAACUCGAGGCUCAACCUCGAGCUGUCGGCGGAAACCAUCUGGCUAGAGUCCGGAAGAGGAGAGUGGAAUUCCUGGUGUAGCGGUGAAAUGCGCAGAUAUCAGAAAGAACACCUAUGGCGAAGGCAGCUCUCUGGGACGGUACUGACGCUGAGACGCGAAAGCGUGGGGAGCGAACAGG